UCGAGUUCUUUGAAAAGGGUUGCAGCUGGCCUCUCCGGGGGCAAGUGCUCGCCUUGCUCAAAAUUUCGCUCUUCAAACACCUGUGCACUCUUUACUGCGUGGUUUUUCCGAGGAGGAGUGAACGGAAAGGUGGCCUUGGUUGUUGCCUUUCGAGAAACUCCUUGUCGGGAGGGCCUCCUGUCUUAUUUACAACGCCUUCCGAGUUUUUGAAUGUACAUUUUGAACAAAAAUUAUUAAAA
rnacentral:misc_RNA from 1 species